CUUUACCGCUCUCCCCCGAGACCUUUUAAGGGUUGUUUGGAGUUUUAGAUGCAAAAUCCACAAGUAUUCAAGUGAUUGUUAAAGAGGGAGGCCUGAAGUUGAUUCAGAUCCAAGACAAUGGCACCGGGAUCAGGAAAGAAGAUCUGGAUAUUGUAUGUGAAAGGUUCACUACUAGUAAACUGCAGUCCUUUGAGGAUUUAGCCAGUAUUUCUACCUAUGGCUUUCGAGGUGAGGCUUUGGCCAGCAUAAGCCAUGUGGCUCAUGUUACUAUUACAACGAAAACAGCUGAUGGAAAGUGUGCAUACAGAACAGAUGAAUUGCCAUCUCUCUGGGAUGCUUUUACCCACCCUCACUCCCACCUCAGGCUGAAUGGACCCUUCUCUAGAUCGCUUAGCAUAUUGUUCUACAGUUAGAGCAAGUUACUCAGAUGGAAAACUGAAAGCCCCUCCUAAACCAUGUGCUGGCAAUCAAGGGACCCAGAUCACGGUGGAGGACCUUUUUUACAACAUAGCCACGAGGAGAAAAGCUUUAAAAAAUCCAAGUGAAGAAUAUGGG
rnacentral:lncRNA from 1 species